ensembl:snRNA U6 U6 spliceosomal RNA
GUGCUUGCUUCCCCAGCACAUAUGCUAAAAUUGGAACAGCACAGAGAUUAGCAUGGCCCCCGCGCAAGGAUGACACGCAAAUUCGUGAAGUGUUCCAUAUUUAA